UACGAAGGGGGCUAGCGUUGCUCGGAAUUACUGGGCGUAAAGCGCACGUAGGCGGACUCUUAAGUCGGUGGUGAAAUCCUGGAGCUCAACUCCAGAACUGCCUUCGAUACUGGAAGACUUGAGUCCGGGAGAGGUGAGUGGAACUGCGAGUGUAGAGGUGAAAUUCGUAGAUAUUCGCAAGAACACCAGUGGCGAAGGCGGCUCACUGGCCCGGUACUGACGCUGAGGUGCGAAAGCGUGGGGAGCAAACAGG
rnacentral:rRNA from 1 species